rnacentral:rRNA from 1 species
AUUGAACGCUGGCGGCAUGCCUUACACAUGCAAGUCGAACGGCAGCGGACCUUCGGGUGCCGGCGAGUGGCGAACGGGUGAGUAAUAUAUCGGAACGUACCUUUCAGUGGGGGAUAACGUAGCGAAAGUUACGCUAAUACCGCAUAUUCUGUGAGCAGGAAAGCAGGGGAUCGCAAGACCUUGCGCUAUUAGAUGAGCUUGCGUCCGAUUAGCUAGUUGGUGGGGUAAAGGCCUACCAAAGCGACGAUCGGUAACUGGUCUGAGAGGAUGAUCAGUCACACUGGAACUGAGACACGGUCCAGACUCCUACGGGAGGCAGCAGUGGGGAAUAUUGGACAAUGGGGGCAACCCUGAUCCAGCCAUGCCGCGUGUGUGAAGAAGGCCUCGGUU